rnacentral:rRNA from 1 species
UCUGGGUCACCUCCCACCCGUGUUUAUUCUACCUUGUUGCUUCGGCGGGCCCGCCUCACGGCCGCCGGGGGGCACUCGCCCCCGGGCCCGCGCCCGCCGAAGACACCAAUGAACUCUGUCUGAAGAUUGCAGUCUGAGCAGAUUAGCUAAAUCAGUUAAAACUUUCAACAACGGAUCUCUUGGUUCCGGCAUCGAUGAAGAACGCAGCGAAAUGCGAUAAGUAAUGUGAAUUGCAGAAUUCAGUGAAUCAUCGAGUCUUUGAACGCACAUUGCGCCCCCUGGUAUUCCGGGGGGCAUGCCUGUCCGAGCGUCAUUGCUGCCCUCAAGCACGGCUUGUGUGUUGGGCUUCGCCCCCCGGCUCCCGGGGGGCGGGCCCGAAAGGCAGCGGCGGCACCGCGUCCGGUCCUCGAGCGUAUGGGGCUUCGUCACCCGCUCUGUAGGCCCGGCCGGCGCCCGCCGGCGACCCCAAUCAAUCUUUCCAGGUUGACCUCGGAUCAGGUAGGGAUACCCGCUGAACUUAAGCAUAUCAAUAA